AGACAAGUCACUAUGUCUCUACUUAGCUGGAUUUUUCUUGUUGCAAUUUUAAAAGGUUUCCAGUGUGAGGUGCAACUGGUGGAGUCUGGGGGAGACCUGAGGCAGCCUGGGGGGUCUCUGAAGCUCUCCUGCGCAACCUCUGGGUUCACCUUCAGUAGCUAUGCCAUGAACUGGGUUCGCCAAGCCCCAGGAAAAGAGCUGGAAUGGGUCUCACAUAUUAAUAUUUUUAGUGGUAUAAGCUAUGCAGAUUCUGUGAAGGGCCGAUUCACCAUCUCCAGAGACAACGCCAAGAACAUGGUGUAUCUGCAGAUGAACAGUCUGAAAACAGAGGAUACAGCCAUCUAUUAUUGUACAGCAGACACAGUGAGGGGAAGCCAGCAUGAACCCAGACAAAAACUUCUCUGUGGGUGCUGA